rnacentral:RNase_P_RNA from 1 species
UGGGUCGGCUGGACGGCCGCGUUGCGGGAGACCGCACCGAGGAACGUCCGGGCUCCACAGGGCAGGAUGGUGGGUAACACCCACCCGGAGCAAUCCGCGAGAAAGUGCCACAGAGAGCAGACCGCCGGGGCAUGCCCCGGUAAGGGUGAAAGGGUGGUGUAAGAGACCACCGGGGGUCAUGGUGACAUGACCUGCCAGGUAAACCUCGUCCGGAGCAAGGUCAGACAGAGGAUGUUGACGCGGCUCGCCGAGUCCUCGGGUAGACCGCUGGAGCGGCACGGCAACGUGUCGCCGAGAGAGAUGGCCGUCGAAGGGAUCCCUCGAGAGAGGCCCCGGAACAGAACCCGGCGUAUAGGCCGGCCCAUUCG